CACUCCAGCCGUCGCUGCCCCCUUCUCCCUCCCAGAUCCAAUCCAAGUCAGAACCCCUCGCCCUCCCACCCCGGCCUCCAUCUCCAUUCCUGCGCGCGUCGGCCACCUCCCUCCGACGGAGUUCGACCCCCACCCCCAAGCACCGUUGCUCCACCCUCUCCGGUGCCCAUCCACAGAUCGAGCGAGGGGUGAGGCAGCGCCCAGAUCCAUUGCCCUGCCGGAAUGAGAUGCAGCACCAGAUCCCUCCUUAUUCCUGACCUCUGGUGGCGCUGUCGCAGCCACCUUCGACGCUGCGGCUCUCCUACUUCGUCCAGCCUCGUGCCUACGCCUCCCCCCUCUCCCCUCGCGCCCACGCCUCCCCCGCCCUCGUCGGACUCACCAUCAUCUGCUGCACCGAGGAGAUAGGCAUGUGUGAGUCCUCCCUCUCGGGGGAGGCAGAGGGGCGCCGCGGCGGUGAUGGGGAACAAGAUCGCGCGGACGACGCAGGCCUCGGUGACGGAGUACUACCUGCAACCUCGUGCUGCUCGACCUCGUCAGCCGCGACCGCAUCCACUGCAAGCACGACGAGGGCCUCCUCCUCGUCAAGGUGUACUUCAAGCGCACCGGAGAGCCCCUCGACCUCAAGGUGACUAGUCAAUCAACAUUUGCUGGAAUCAUGCACCGUGCUGGUGUUAGUCGCAAUGAUCAGCUUCAAUAGGAUGACCAGUACCUGAACAUGAUGCAUAUUUAUUAAAAAAAAUGGUAAUGCAUUUUGCUCAUACCAGGGUACUCGAUUUAGUCUAUUGCGAAUGCUAAUAGACCAUGAUAACUUGUAUAUUGGACCUGCCCCCUCUCUCUGUUUGACUCGUCAAUCUCUCUAUAUCUUUCUGAAGGCGCCGCCGGGUUCGAGGGUGGAGCCCGAGGCUCCACUGGAGCAUGGAUCAGACGUGCAGGAGGUGGAGCUCCGCAUGGAUCACGACGUGGUCGUCGUGGGGGCCUGGACCAUUAGGUCCGCAGGCGGCAUCGGGGGCGGUGCAGUGCCAGCUGCUGGACAUGGUUCACCCGGGGUUGGUGUUGAUGCACAAGGUUAGGAGGCGUUCUGGCCUGAUUGAUCUGUUCUGGAGUGAUACGCUUAGGCGGCUUGGCUUAGAUGGCUGCGAUGCGAUGCUCAUUUUGGGGUGUUUUGCGGGUGAAUUUCGAUGCCAAGACGGAGUACGACAUGAUCCAGAACUACUGGAUUCUCCUGGAUGUGUUCAACAAGUUGCAGAUAGGCAAGGUACGGGUGGUGAUUCUCCUGGCUUAGAUCUCUAUCCGUGGAUUUAUCUGUGAUUGUGUCUUGCAUUUUGUCAUCUGGGAAAGCAAAUGUGAUCUGUCUGUACAGUAGUUCGGUUUAUAUAUGCGGUGUGUGGGGAUUCAAUCUGGAACAGUUGUGUGUGAUUGAUGUCAGCAUGUGGUAUAGCCACAAGGUGAUUUGAUAACUAACUAAAUUUGUUGUGCACUAUUGAAGUUAUGCUCAUUGAUGUGUACAGUACUAAACUUGUACAAUUCUUGUCCUGUUUCCACACAACAUUAAGAUUAGAGUCGUGCUUUUUGAAUGUUUUGCCGAUUUUUAUGGCCUGUGUGCUAGCAAACUGAACUAAGAGUGCUUCAUCUUUGUCCUUCAACUUCUAUUCUUAUGAAAAUUAAAUAGAGGAUCUAUUUUGCUCCCUGCUCUGAUUGGCUUUAAUCGAUAUUUGUCCCAUCCAACACUCUGAGUAUCAAUGUGUUGUUUUAAUCCUGAUGAUGAUGUGGUAGUAUGAAGUGGACACCAUAUUCCUGUUUAAAUGCAUAAGGAAUAAUUUGAUUCAUCAUGUCCUUGUUUACCCAUGCCAGAUUUGUUGCUUCCGGAACUCUUGGUCCUUCAUAUCUAAAGUUUACAUGUACUGUAGAAGAUCUACUUUAUGCUAAUACCUACUUGUGUAACAUUUUGCAUGGUAUACUUCUAAAUGGACAAGUACAUGCGGCGUCCAUCAUCAACGAUGAUGCGGACUAGAUGUUCAACUUCAAAACCAUCCAUCAUAUCAACACAAAGUCAGAUGUUUUGCAAAAGGAAGAAGCGGUACUUGAAGAAGCAGAUUACAAUGUUUUCUCAUCGUGAAGCACUAGAUAGGCUUGUUCUAUUUAUUUUUCCUGUUCUGGAGUAUUCCAGCACCUGAAUGCUUGACUACAACAUGUUGUAGGUUGCUUGGAUUUGUAUAAAAUACAUAUGUGAUGGAAAUUUGUAGAAUGUGUGUUCUGAGAUAUUUUCGUAAUAUUCAGCUAAUUCGUGGUAA